rnacentral:lncRNA from 1 species
UUCAGAUUCUAAUUUCCUUCUGCUUUCCAAACAAAGCUCAUAUCUCCAUCUUUCUCUCUCUCCCCUCUUAAAUGUAUAUAUAUAAUGCUAGACUUGCUCCUGCUUAGCUGGAGGAACAAGAGGUGUCGCUCAGUGGUCAUGAGCUUGUUUGGGACGUACCAGGUCCUCAGUUACAUCUCUGUCUUUGCAAAAGGAAAAAGAAAAAUAGAAAGAAAGGAAAAGAAAAGAAGAAAUUAAGGCAGAGCCCUGACAUUGUUUUCUAGAUGUAUUGUUAAAUUGAAAAUGCCUUGUAUUGUUUCCCAAAUGUAUGGUGACACUGAGAAAUUCUUCUAUUGUUUUCUCAAUGUAUUGUUCUGUAUUCAAUCAGGACAGUAUACAAAAAUAUGACUAACUCAAGACUAUUCCACUUCUCACUGUUAAUCUUAAACUCAUGUGUCUACAUGUAUUGCAUGUUGUAUGUCUAUGAGUACACACUGUGGGAGGGGUAAGCAAGCAUGUGUUUACAUACAUGUGUGGGGGCUAGAAGCAAGCUCAGUGUCACUUCUUAGGUGACAUCUGGCUUUUAUUUUUGAGACAGGGCCUGUCACCAGCCUGGAACUUGCUAAAUUGCCUUGACCAGUGGGUUAGGGAGCCCCAGGGUUCUCCUUGUCUUUCCUUCUUCCAUAUAGGGAUUAUAGGCACACACACCAUGUCUAGCUUUUCUAUUAACUUUUAUUUUUAUAUUUAUUUAUUUUGAUUUUAUUUCUUAUUACCUGUGUGUGUGUGGGGGGGGGGUCAGGCUUGCCACAGGGUGGAAGUCUGAGGACAGCUUUUGGAAGUCCAUUAUCACCUUCCACUUUAUGUGGGUUCCAGGGAUCAGACUCAGAUAUCCAGAUGCACACAGCACGUGCCUUUUUCCACUGAGCCAUUGCCCCAGUCCCUGACUGUCAUUUUAGAUUCUUGAUUGGCAGUGGACUUUGCUAAUAAAAGUCAAGGAAUAGAAGUCAAGUCAAUAGGGACAGCUGUGUUGACAAAUAUUAUUACUGUGUUUCAAUGUAUAUCUUGUUAACUCGAUUUUAUUUUCCUGCACUGAAAUAUGUUCUCCCAUGGAAGACAGCCUGUAUUUAUUAGUGACUUCCUGUCUUGGCAGCCCCCCUGUUGCCUCAUGGGGGGGUGGCUUUUCUCUCAGCAUAUGUAAUAUUCACAUUGAUUAAUUAAUCGAUUAGACAAGUGUUUAUUGAGCGUGUGCCUUGUGUUUGGCAUAAAUCCAGGUGCUGGAGUGCAGAGGGACAUGAACAGCAGGGCCCUGCACUCCGAUCUGCACUAUAAAAGUAGGAGACAGACAGUAAACACACCAGAGACCAUGCUACAUACAGAAAUCUGUAAUGGAACCAAGCAUGCAAAACAUGUAGGGAGAGCACUGUGGGCCAUCUCUACUCCUAUAAGAUACAUAGAGGUAACCAGCACCCUGCCCAUGGAGGGCUCAUGUACAUACAUUGAAUGAACCAAUGGAUGGAUGCAUACGCUAUCCUGCCUUCGCUGGCAGACUGUUGGCUCAUGCUAUCUUAUCACAUCGGUAUUGAUUAUAUAUAUGUAGCAUUUUCCUUUCACAAGUGGCUGUCUUAGGUGGUCUUGUUUCUCUGGUGUCCCUUCAUCCUCCUGCCUCAGAUAAAUCAGCUGCCAGUCCCUUCAAGGUGAUGGCUUUUUCAGGAGCGCUUCCUAAGCCCCUUGUGUGGGCCUUCCAUACUCUGCGGAUAUUAUUGUUUAGGUGUCUAUGUCUUUGUCUAAAUGAAGCCUCCUCCAUGGUCUUCACACAGAAAUAUAUGCCUCUCUGUUGUGGCCAAACACAUAGAACUGUUUGCUGUGAAACAGAAGUCACCAUGCCUGGCCAUUUGCCUCAUACUUUAUAAAGAAAAGAAGUUCUAUGUGUUCCACAAUUAUAGAUGCUAAGAUGUUCAAAUAGCAUAGUGUUGGCUCCUGGUUGCAUCAUAGUUUACCACACUGUCACCACACCGUGAGGCAUGCUACUAGGUCAUCCAAGUGGCAAUAACAAGUGUCAGUUAUAAACUGUAAUGCCCACAUGUGCUAUGGCAGGAUUUUGAAAUAUUAAGUGUGUGGGGGCACCCAAGCGCACUCACACACACACACACACACACACACACACACACACACACACCCCACAUUGAAUAAAUGAAUAAACAAAGGAAUAAAUAAAUAAAUGGAAAUUUUAAAGAUGAAUAAUUCAUCAGGCUCAUAAAGCUGGUUCAUUUCAGCAUUGCUUUUCAAAUAUCUAGGACCUAGAACUUAGAGGGUUUUCUUCCUCCCUCUCUUCCUCCCUUCCUGCCUUCCAUCUUCCAUUUUUGUGUUUCUGAGUUUGGAACCUGGGUCCUUGCAGGUACUGUGCAGCUGAGCCAUAGCCACGCCCAGCAUGUAUGCCUUCUGCGUGUCACCUCUCAUCUAAGUCCCCCUUUUUCCCAAAAGAAAACCAAAUAUAGUUGUCUCUGAAUCCACAGGCUUCAUACCCAUGGAUUCAAUCAACCCUGGAUCAGAAUCUUCAGAAGAACUUGGUCUCAUGCUGGUGGUGACAGACUGUCAGCCGUGCCUGUCACUACUCCUAAGUGGCAACUAUUUACAUAGCACUUACACUGGAUUAAGGGUCACAACUAAGCUGGAAAUGAUUUACAGUAUGCAGGAUAAACAGGUCCUUUGCAAACACUGUCAUUUUAUAGGAAGGAACUUUAGCAUCACUGUUAGUGGUGUCCAGCAUCCACAGGAGUAACUCAGUCUCAUGUGGACAGCAAGAGGUCACUGGGCUUUGCUUUAAAUACUCAUCCAGAUGGCACAUAGGCACAAUUAUGAAGCUGAAGACACAGGAUUCAUGCAUUCGUUCAAUAAAUAUUUUUCAAGUAUUCCCUGUGCCACAUAAGGCUACAGCAUCUGAAAUAAGCAGACUACUUUUUGUAAGGAGCGUGGAUGUAAUGUGGGUUGGAAUGGGAAGAGGUGGCUAUGGAAUGUGCACCUCAAACACAACAAAGUUACUGGAGGGUGCAUGGUAGGUUGAAGGUGAUAAAUACUAUGGAAGAAAAGACACAAAGUGAGCAAGGCCAAAGACUGGGGUGGGGGUGUGGUGGGGGUGUCUCUGAUCUCAGCUAGCUACAGACCUUGUGAGGAACACUGACUCAACAACAAUAACACAAACAAAAGAAAAACAACAGCC